rnacentral:lncRNA from 1 species
AGCGAAUUCAAACGGCUUGCUAACUUCGCAAGCGUUUCAAUAUGACUACGACCUCUUUGUUGUCUGUUCUAUCGUUCGUUCGUUUGUUUUGUCUGUAUUUCACAAACAUACGGUAAAUUGGAAUUGCCGGGAAACGACGCCCAAUGGGAAAUCUGGAAAAAGUUUCACGGUAAAGUGUACGAGAAUGAAUACGUCGAAAAUUAUCGUAAAGCUAUCUGGCAAGCGAACUUGGAGGUAAGCAGUGUUACUUUCGAUUAGAACUUGACAACUGCCUCUGUAGUUCAACUGGUUAGAGCGCUGCACCGG